rnacentral:rRNA from 1 species
UACGUAGGGGGCUAGCGUUGUCCGGAUUUAUUGGGCGUAAAGAGCGUGUAGGCGGCCAGGUAGGUCUGGUGUGAAAACUCGAGGCUUAACCUCGAGAUGUCAUCGGAAACCAUCUGGCUAGAGUCCGGAAGAGGAGAGUGGAAUUCCUGGUGUAGCGGUGAAAUGCGCAGAUAUCAGGAAGAACACCAAUGGCGAAGGCAGUUCUCUGGGACGGUACUGACGCUGAGACGCGAAAGCGUGGGGAGCGAACAGG